CCUGCCCAAGAGAUCGGGAUAACACCUGGAAACAGAUGCUAAUACCGGAUAACAACAGAUGAUGCCUAUCAACUGUUUAAAAGAUGGUUCUGCUAUCACUCUUGGAUGGACCUGCGGUGCAUUAGCUAGUUGGUAGGGUAACGGCCUACCAAGGCGAUGAUGCAUAGCCGAGUUGAGAGACUGAUCGGCCACACUGGGACUGAGACACGGCCCAAACUCCUACGGGAGGCAGCAGAG
rnacentral:rRNA from 1 species